AUCCACAGCCAUAGCACCCUGAGAACGCCCCAUCUCGUCUGAUGUGGGAAGCUAAGCAGGGUCGGGCCCGGUCAGUGCUCGGAUGGGAGACCAGCUGGGAAUAGCGGGUGCUAUUCCCC
rnacentral:rRNA from 1 species